CUCCAGGCAUCACACGCUUGAGGGGCUCUGUACUCUACGAGCUCUAUCAGGCUCUAUUCUACAAAGCUCGAGCUCUCUUCAUGGUGGGAGCUGCAUCCUCCGAACAGGCGCGGCGGUUGGCUAUGUCGGCCAUGACAGCCCUGAAGGAGUGCGUUCGCGUCCUCAGCUACGAACCGGAAGUGCAGCCUGAAGGACAGUUGGGACUUGAAGCGAAAGAGGAAGUCAAGCAACUGGAGGAGUGGAUAAAAGAUGAAGGAUGGAAGUACUGAGGAAAAAUGCGAAGGAAAGUAGAGUGGUGAUUUGAAAGACAGGAUGUGGGAGUGAAGUGUUAAAGAGAAUGGGAGGAGAAUUGGUUGUAAGCGAAGGAAGAAAUGACAGAAAAUGCGACAAAUAUUCGAAUGAAAGUGAAUAGGAACUGAGACGGAUAUGAAGGAGUUUCUAAGAAAGUUAUGAUGAUAUACAUCAUUAGAAUAUGAAUGGUCAAAUUUUAAGAAAAAAAAUGAGUGGUGAAUAGAAAAUGGAGAACUUAAUGAGAAAAUGGAAAGGUGCCUCUUUUACCAUAUAGUGUAUUUUAAUGUGAUCUGUAUAUAUUUUAAAUUAUCUAUCUAGAUUGUGGAUGAAGACUCUUAGGUUUCAAGACGGGAGAUCGUUGCUCAGUUUUGUCUUAUCAUUUAUUACGGUUUCUUUGUCUAUUUUAUGAUGUAAGUUUAUAUUACAAACAUGUAAUACAUUUUCAUUCUCUCGGUCUCAUUUUUCUCAGAUGCUUCUGUUUGUUUAUUCAUUCUUGAUUCCCUUUUCUUCAAAUCUCACCAGAUUGUCACUCCAUAACAUAUUUUUAAAAGUUACCCCUGUAUAUUAAAGUUAAUAACAGAAAACGUAAUAAUGAAAGGAUAAACUCAAACAUAUUUUUACAUUGUUCACUUAUAUCAGCAAUUCAUUAUACUUAUUCCUUCCUUUCUCAUAAGAUUGGAAUGCCCAUACAAAUAUCAUACACAUCUUUUCUCUCUUAAAAAAAAUAGUUGUAUUACUAUUUGUUACCGACACUAUUGUACCGUUAG